rnacentral:rRNA from 1 species
CCUACGGGUGGCAGCAGUGAGGAAUAUUGGUCAAUGGACGCGAGCCUGAACCAGCCAAGUCGCGUGAAGGAAGACUGUCCUAUGGGUUGUAAACCUCUUUUAUCUGGGAGUAAAAGGCUCCACGCGUGGCGUUCCGUAAGUACCCUAAGAAAAAGCAUCGGCUAACUCCGUGCCAGCAGCCGCGGUAAUACGGAGGAUGCGAGCGUUAUCCGGAUUUAUUGGGUUUAAAGGGUGCGCAGGCGGAAGAUCAAGUCAGUGGUAAAAUUGGGGGGCUCAACCUCUUCGAGCAGUUGAAACUGGUUGUCUUGAGUGAGCGAGAGGUAGGCGGAAUGCGUGGUGUAGCGGUGAAAUGCAUAGAUAUCACGCAGAACUCCGAUUGCGAAGGCAGUAUACCGGCGCUCAACUGACGCUCAUGCACGAAAGUGUGGGUAUCGAACAGGAUUAGAUACCCGAGUAGUC